CCUACGGGUGGCAGCAGUGAGGAAUAUUGCACAAUGGGCGCAAGCCUGAAGCAGCCAAGUCGCGUGAAUGAUGACUGCCCUCCUGGUUUUAAGCUCUUUUUAUAAAGGAAUAAAGUGAGGCACGUGUGCCUUUUCGCAUGUACUUUACGAAUAAAGAACGGCUAAUUCCGUGCCAGGAGCCGCGGUAAUACGGAAGGUCUGGGCGUUAUCCGGAUGUAAUGGGUUUAACGGGAGCGUAGGGCGGUCUUUAAGCGGGCCGUGAAAUUUUGUGGCUCAACCAUGAGAGUGCGGCGCGAACUGGAGACCUUGAGUGCGGGGAAGGGAGGCGGAAUUCGUGGUGUAGCGGUGAAAUGCGUAGAUAUCAGGAAGAACACCGGUGGCGAAGGCAGCCUGCCGGAGCGUUACUGACGCUGAAGCUCGAAAGCGUGGGUAUCGAACAGGAUUAGAUACCCGAGUAGUC
rnacentral:rRNA from 1 species